rnacentral:lncRNA from 1 species
GGGUGAUUAGUGUCUAAAAGUGCUUCAAAGAUAUAUCAUUUACAAGGCAUUUUACAUUCACUUUGUUUAAAAACGCUAAUGUUAGUCUCUAAUUCCAAUUCUCAUGCCGUAAAUUCAAUUUCCAUAAAUACAUGGUUAAAAAUGCAAUUAAUUGAAAUACGUAUUUACAUACAUGGUGGAAUGAGUAUUCUACAUUUGAAAGAGUGUCUAUUUGAUGUAUUUCACAUGUAUUUUCAAUUUAUUACAAGUGGAGCAAGUGGAGGAAAAUAAUGUUGAAAUGUCAAAAAUAGUGACUGCCUCAAGCAAGAAGCAGCUGUUGGUAAAAUAAUCAUAACUUGAGCUACAGACAUUGGAUCGAGGUGAUUAAAGUUGGGUUGGAAAGAUAAGGCACGUUUCUACAACUUUCAUGUUUUGGAAGAAGUCAAAUUCGUAUCACAAGGCAGCCAAAAUUACCGUGCAAAGUCCAGCCUGUUACCUGCCGGAUACAGCUUUACCUGUGAAGCAGCACUUAUUGUUUUUGUCAUAUCUGGAGUUAUAUAGAUCCAAUGAACCUGAUCUUUGAACCAAUGGAAAGAUAACUCAAGUGGCAAUAUUUUAUCUGUUGAUCAUAAGUCCAAAGUCGCUGCAAAAUGUAUCUGAAAAUUGGCAUCAAGUUGCAUGUUCCAGCUGUCUUGAAGCUGGACAGAAACAAGUUGCAUUGCCUACUUGAAUUUUGGAUGUUCCUUUGCCUAUAAAAGGGGACCUUGGCCACGAUUUUGAAAGAAUCAAAUUCUC